rnacentral:lncRNA from 10 species
UUAAAAAGUGGAGAUUUUGAAAUAAUAUGAGUAUCUCAUUAAGUCCAAACAGUUGAAUGACUAAGACUCGGAAAAAGUGGAGAGCAGGGAAGUUCAGGAGACCUAGAGGAAAAGAGAACAAUUUUCUCUCUAUGAUACUACAAUCAAUAUGGAUCAUCUGUCUCUCCUUUUGAGAUUGCAACUUUCCAGAAGAGAGAAUCUGACUGUUCCAAUCAAGUCAGCUUUUCACUCCAGGAUAAAACUGCUAUGGCCAGAGAGCAAUGCAAGAAAAAAAUAAAAAUAAAAACUAUGUCACAUAAGUAAGACUGUAAAGGAAUGGGAAGAAUGGGAAGAACUUACCCUAUUUAGCAGAAAAUGGGAUUGUGACACAAAUGCAGUAGGUGGUGGACCCAAAGCACUUCUGAAGCACAAUCUGGAUAUCAUUCUUGUUGAACCACGAGGACCUGUGAGUAGUCAAUAUUAGAGAUGUGGCUUCAGACUCCGACUUAAAAUAAGGUGAAUGGUUCAAGAAUAAGGGAUAUGCCACUCGUGAUCAAAUAGCGAAAAUUACGAGAGCAUGAGUAUGUAAGUGGAGCUCCAAGUCUGGACAUAAAGCAUACCCUUCCAUUCUGACUCAUAAAAUGAAAGUUCUGGAAGAACUAGGAUCAUUACAAUAUCUUACUACCACUGUGGUUUCACUUCCAUCUUUAAUCCAACCUUCACAUUGUGAAGAACUUGCUUCUCUUCUCAAUCUUCCAUUGUGUUGACAGUGCUAAUUAAAUAGUCUAAAUUGCUUAGACAAUUUUAAGAAUUCCAGUAACUUGGUUCCUAAAUAUUUUUUGGUCUCCUUCCCACUAUAUUUCUCUAUGAAUACUAUAUUUUUGCCACAUUUUGCAUUUUUACACACUUUUAUGUUGCUCAUGUUGAUCUCAUGGAUGGAAAUAUUAUUUUAUCAUGUUUUAGAAUAUCAUUUGAAUGUUUCAUCAAGAAACUCCUUGAUUAAUUGCAAUCUAUGUGUGCCAACUUGCUUUCUUAAUUUUGGACUUUUCUAUAUUUGAUUAAUUUUGUUUCUGGACCUUCAAUGAACCUUAUGCUCCCUGAGUAGGGACUGGGUAUACUUCAGUGAAAAGAGAAAGACACUUAGAUUGCAUCGCAGAUUUGCUAUUACCUGGAGGGACAGCCUUGGAAU